UACAGAGGUCUCAAGCGUUGUUCGGAUUCAUUGGGCGUAAAGGGUGCGUAGGCGGCGUGGUAAGUCUGAUGUGAAAUCCCGGGGCUCAACCUCGGAACUGCAUUGGAUACUGCCAUGCUUGAGUACUGGAGAGGAGACUGGAAUUUACGGUGUAGCAGUGAAAUGCGUAGAUAUCGUAAGGAAGACCAGUGGCGAAGGCGAGUCUCUGGACAGUUACUGACGCUGAGGCACGAAGGCCAGGGGAGCAAACGGG
rnacentral:rRNA from 1 species